AAAUAGUCAAUAAGCACAGGUCAUUUCGAUUGGAUUCACCCUCUUACUGCGUGUCUAAAUACUGAAAAUUCACCUGACAGUUAAGGGCAAGGGAAGAUGGUUUCUUACAUAUUGAAACAGAUAUCCCACUUGCCCGGAUUUGAUGAGUUGAAAUGAAAAUCUUAAUCCUGGAUACAUAAAAAGUAUCCAGUCGCUCAAACAGAUGUGAGAAAGCUAGAAGAGGGCAGGGCAGACCAGCACAGAGGCAAAAUAAUGACAGAUUCUCUGCCCUGGAAGCAAAGGCCCCAAAGAAGACAAAUGGGAGUGAGGAGACCUGCAUUAACAAGCUGCUCGACCUUUGGAAAAUCAGCCUCCCGUGGCCUCGUUUUCUCUUUCUAUUAGACAUCAUGCUUAUUCUAAAUGCUCUCUGAAGAUUAAUCUUGCUCUAACAUUUGGUGAUACCAUGAGAUACAUCGUAUCUCCUGAUAGGCAAGUGUGAUGGAAAUGAAAAUUUCUAUUUUUAUUUUCAAAAAAGAGUGAGGAAUAACCCUGGAUACUUUAGAAUUAUAGAAAAGCACCCUAAUUCCCCCCAUGGGGCUUUCAAAUGUGCGUUGGCAGGAGUGUAUUUCUCAUAUGGGGGGGGGAGUCUUAUAAGUCUCCUGGGACCUAUAGCAAGGUGAUGUCAGCACUUCAGAAUCCUUCUCCACACAGUGCUCCAAACAGCCACUGACAGAUGAUCAUAGUGGACAUGCAAGGGAAAUGUGUGCUUUUUUUUGUACUUCCUAUCGAAGGCAAUCUGGGUUUCAAACAAAUAAUCUCAAGUUUAUAAAGCAGUGAUCAAAUAAAUGGCGGAGGGCAGGCAGCAUUUUGGAUAAAUGCAAUGGUUACUAAUUACAACUGCAGGUUCAAGGCUGGGAUGCGUAUAAAAUGAGGUCGGUCAAGCCAUGGUCCUGAGUGAGACCGAGCCUCAAUCACACUGCUAGGAGAGGAAUCCCCCUAUCCUGUUUCAGCCACUGCUCCAGGUCUACAUCCUCUGAAUGACGAGGACUCCUCUCUGGGAAGACAGUGGCUGCUCUAAGGGUGCUGAUCCCCACAGGGCUCCAGCACAGGCAUGCGGUACCCACCCAGGUCAAAGGUUGCCUGUGGAAAGAGAAGAUGAGCUGGUGGGGGUAUGGCCACCCUGAUACACACCAGUGGAAAGGAGCAAGUGUCCUCCUGCAUUUUAGUUCCCAUGAUUUUUGCCUUUCUAUUCUCACUACCUGUUGGAUGUACAUUGUUUCUGAGAAGAGAAACAGUAUCAUUUCAGUACCAUUGUAAUGGCAUCUUGCCUUGCCGGUGAACCUGUAGUAGUGGCCACACCCUUUGGGCGUGGUUUCGGGUGCAGAGGUGACCGUUUUAAGGCAGAGGAGCUGCGGGCAUGCUUUCUGGGGUUCCAGAGAGCAUCAGAUGGGCAGAGACUGCACCUUCUGGAGCAGGAAAGCUGAGGUGGUUAUUUAUCUGUGUGAGUUCUUCCCCAAUAAAACACCUAUUUAUCAUUUAUUUUGGGUCUGGUGAACUCAUUUGAACCCCGCCUUCAAUUGGCAUACAACCUACAGAGCUCAGGGAACUGACCUAACUGGGGCCACAGAGAGUGAAGAAAUGAUAGACACGCCUAUAGAAAAGCUGAGAUCAAGUAGACCGUGUGCUCUAAGGGAGGCAAGCCGGCAGCAUCCUGGGAGCUCAUGGAGUCUACUGUGAUAUUUGGCAUGGAACUGGAGGCAGGUCAGGUCGUCUGCGUAGGAGGCCUCUGUAGGGGAAGCAGCCUCAGGUUUCAGUCACCCAGAAAGAAGCUGAA
ensembl:lncRNA